CCGAGCCCCUCCCCACCCCGAUGCUCGGCAGGCCACGCAGCGACCCUGGGCCUCCCGUACUGCACCCACCAGACGUCAACCUUCCAGAGCGUCCUGUCCUGUAUUUAUUUUGGGUCCUUUUUCUUUGCACAGACAGAGGCAAGUGGUGCUUUUUAGGGGAAAAGAGACAAACCGGAAAAGGAAGACACUCCACGCCACCGCACUUUGGUCCUUUGCCUCCACUGCAUGUGUCCCACAGGGACGAGGCCAUUCCUUGGGACCUGGGCUGCUCGGGCCUGGCUGCCCAGACCCUCACGGGACCCAGCUGCUGCCGUGGCUCUGAGGAUCUAUCCCAGGGAGCCCGAUUGGGGUCCCCAGCCCCAGAAAGGGUUUGUCCAGGCCCCAGAGACAGCUGCAGCAUCACCUUGCCCAGGCCCCCAAGGACGUGGUCCCACUGCAGAAGGUGGAGUCUGGAAGUCAGCACUGUCGAGAAAAAAUGGUUUGUGUGGCCCCCAGUGAGUCACAGCUUGUAUGCAGCGCUGGGGGCCGGCGAGAUCUUGCAGCCCUCUUGGCUGGAUGGCCCAACAUUCCCAUUUUUGUGUUAAGUCCCAGAGGCCCCAUGGGGAUCCACAUCAUGUGGACUGCUUGUUUCAUUCCUUUUCAGAGUAUUGCAAAAAGGAUGCUGAAGUGUCCCUCAAACUGUUUCAAGGGGCCUCACUUGCUUAUCAUUUCGGGCACAGUGGGCUAGACAGGAGAGACCUAUUCAUGACAUGUGGCAAACUCAAGACUUUCCUCAGACCCCAGGAGGGAGGCCCUGGGUGCACCCGGCUGUCCCCACUCCUGUUAGACCUGUAAAUAUCCCAAUGACCCAGCUCCUUCCUGCCUCGCCUCUCCAGACGGCUGCUCUCACAGACCCUGGACAAUGUCUGAGUCCCUGGACUGUAGAGAUGGAGAGGCAUUUUCUUAGACUGGCAAGGUGGGAAUUUCCAUGUGUCCCCUUUCAGCCUGUCCCCCUCCCCUCAGGCCAUCCCAACUGUCCUCAUUCACCUCCACACCUGGCUCAGUGCAAUACUCCUGUCCCUGCGGGGUCCGUUGCCAGGGUACUGUUGCCACAGCCCCUCUGUCACCCCCACCACCAGGACGAGCAUCCCCUCCACACACACCUCCUCCUCUCCGGUGAUUACAGGUUCCAUUGCCCAGGCCGGCCCAGUCUCCAUGUGGUUGAACCAUUUCAGAACAAAAAACUGCAAGCCUGGUGUCUUAACCCACUGGGAGUCCCUCAUCCUCAGUCCCUGUGGUCUGGUGUGUGACAAUCCGGAGCAUGGCUUCCUGUGGCACCAGUAGCCAGGCCAUGUCCUUCCAGCCCAGACCUGUGGGCGCCCCACCUGCCCCAUUCCCACCACACCCCCUCUUUUUACGUUGAAGAGAUCUCUAAUAAAUCGGGUAUAAACAUCAAAAAAAAAAACUCAACUAAGUUGACACAUAAAAUUAAUCAUUCUGUAAGGUAGAUAUAAAAGUGCUUUUCUCAAGUUAUUCAAACUGCCUAUAAAUGCACUCCCAAAGUAUUAUCUACCAUGAACAAGAUCCUAGACUACUAAGUAACAUCCCUGAAGAACAGCUUAGUAGUGCUUGUAAAUUACAAAGGGGAUAGCAAUACAUAUCUAUGAAAUAGAAAGUGGGAAUAUUUUUAUGACAAAUUAUCAUUAAAGAAAACAAAACUCA
rnacentral:lncRNA from 1 species